rnacentral:SRP_RNA from 1 species
GCUAGGCAUGGUAGUGCUGUCCUGUUGGCCCAGCUACUCAGGAGACUGAGGCAGCAUGAUUGCUUGAGCCCAGAAGUUCUGGACUAUAGUGUGCUGUGCAGGUUAGGUGUCCACACUAAGUUCGACACAAAUAUGGUGACCUCCAGGGAGUGGGGAACCACCAAGUGGCCUAAGGAGGGUGAAUAGGCCCAGGUUGGAAAUGGAGCAGGUCAAAACUCCUGUGCUGAUCAGUAGUGAAAUGGGGCCUGUGAGUAGUUACUGAACUCUGGCCUGGGCAACAUAGUGAGACUCCAUCUCU